GCCAAGGUCGGACUAUUGGAGACAUCAUACAAAAAUACUGUAAUAACAAAGGAAGUGCUCCGUUUUGACAAUAGCACCAUCCUAAUCGACCAAUCAGGACAAUAACUUGAGGACAUAGGAUACAGGGCUACGGCCUAGAUGUUAUCAUUACUUCAUCGUAAUUGAAUUUUUCUAACCAACUGAAUCCCUUUAGAUGGACGAUGACGCACAAUCCUGAUCAAAACAAUGUAGCUUGACAUGACUAGAAUGACAAUCUCGAGUCCCACAACCUAUAUAAAGGAAUGGAGAGACAAGUGAAAAUGGGAUUCGAACUCAAAAAUAUGCGUACUAUUACACAAAUUCUAGCAAUUUAACAUCUUUACUUUGCUUAGAUUUCAUCGUUAUAAUCACACUGUUAUUCUAUUCAAAUCUCUUUAAAAUUGAUCAAAAAUAGUCGAUUUGUAUCCGUAUCUGCAAAACAAAACCUUGGAAUUCAAGAAAUUAAACGCGAUGGUGUGGACAUGAAAAUGUCCGAGGAUUUUUCUAAGAAAAUAAAAAAUAGUUGAAUAUUACACAUUUAGAAGAGAGAAAAAUAAAUGGCACAAACUUGUAUUUUUUCUACCAGACUUGCAGAAGUCCAAUGUCCUCAACCUAGAACAUAAAAUUUCCUACUCAGAGAAAUUUCCCCCACCUACUAUUAUUUUUUUAAAAACUUUUAACUUUCAUUUAGCAAAAAUCUUAAAUAGUCUAUAAAUUGUGGCAAAAAACUUUUUGACAGAGACUCUACUGGAUAGUGUAUCCACCUGUUCAUCGCAUAUUUCUAACUAUUUAUAAAUUCUUUCCUAUGGGAUGCGAAAUUUAGUAAGAAGAGAUUGUUGUAUUCAAGAAUCUCGCCCUUAAUCAUACAUAUUAAUCGUUUUCAACUCCUCUUUGUUUAAAAUAGUAGAAACGUUUAUAAAAAGUCCAACAAACUCUCCGUGUUAAAUCUUU
rnacentral:lncRNA from 1 species